rnacentral:rRNA from 1 species
GCAAUUAAAUAUUAUUUCACGAAGGGGGCUGAGCUAAUUAAUAAAGCCUUAUAGGGUUACAUUUAUGUGUAGCAGCACAUAAAAUAUAUUACUAAUUAGGGGUGAUAGGCCUAACAAGGCCCCCAAUAGCUUGUUCCCCAGGAAAUAUAUUAAGUAUAAAGUCAACUUAGGAGUGCUAAGGCUCUUAAGUUCAACUAAAUUUGGAUAGACUCAAAGCGAAUUAUUUAACGAUAAUUGUUUUAUUUUUAAAACCACUAAUCACUUAAAAUUGUUUAAUAUACUGGGCGCGCACGUUGUAAUUAAUUACUGUUAUGUCACUGUUGAUAUAAGUAUUAUCUAAAAAUUUUAAGAGGAACUCGGCAAACUAACUUCUCAGCUGUUUAUCAAAAACAUAGCCGGAUGGGUUUAAUAUCUGGUUUUUCCUGCUCAAUGGUUAACUAAAUAGCCGCAGUACCCUGACUGUGCAAAGGUAGCAUAAUCAUUUGGCUUAUAAUUGAAGUCUGGCAUGAAGGGAUACAUGGGAAGUAGCUGUCUUUUAUCAUUAAGCUGAAAUUACUUAGCAAGUGCAAAUACUUGUAAAUAACUAAUAGACGAGAAGACCCUAGAAAUUUUUUUAUAAGACAGUUCAAUAUUGGUAUUAUUUUGUUGGGGCGACAGAAUAACACAAAACUUAUUUUACAGAAUUAGAACUACAUUCUUGAGUUAAAAUAAAUUACUCUAGGGAUAACAGCAUAAUCUAAUAGAGUUUGUGACCUCGAUGUUGGACUAGGGAUUUAAGUGUUUAGAAGACACUUAAACGAGCUCUGUUCGAGCAGCUACCCCUACAUGAUCUGAGUUCAGACCGGC